AGGACGAACGCUGGCGGCGUGCUUAACACAUGCAAGUCGGACGAUGAACCGCUUUCGGGUGGGGAUUAGUGGCGAACGGGUGAGUAACACGUGAGUAACCUGCCCUUCACUCUGGGAUAACUCCGGGAAACCGGGGCUAAUACUGGAUAUGACUCGUACAGGCAUCUGUUGCGGGUGGAAAGAUUUAUUGGUGGAGGAUGGACUCGCGGCCUAUCAGCUUGUUGGUGAGGUAUGGCUUACCAAGGCGACGACGGGUAGCCGGCCUGAGAGGGCGAGUCGGCCACACUGGGACUGAGACACGGCCCAGACUCCUACGGGAGCAGCAGGUGGGAUAGUUGCACAAUGGCGAAAGCCUGAUGGCAGCGACGCCGCGUGAGGAUAGGAAGGUCCGUUUCGGGUUACGUAAACCGUUCGUUUACGGCCGAGGGAAGAAGCGAAGGUAGUACGACCGGUACCUGACGAAGAAGAA
rnacentral:rRNA from 1 species